AACCAUAGAAACCUGCGGAGUACCUGCGGAAGGAUCAUUAACGAAUGGUCUUUGUACCUUCAAAACCCCUCAAACCAGUGGACAUGAAAAUGUGCUUCGGCGCUCUGGCGCCGCUUUUAUGCUGUAAUUCUGUCAUUUGUGUCUGAAUGCAAAGCAAAGAAUCAAAACUUUCAGCAACGGAUCU
rnacentral:misc_RNA from 1 species